rnacentral:rRNA from 1 species
UACGUAGGGUGCAAGCGUUAAUCGGAAUUACUGGGUGUAAAGAGCUCGUAGGCGGCUCGUCACGUCGGCUGUGAAAACCCGGGGCUCAACCCCGGGCCUGCAGUCGAUACGGGCGAGCUAGAGUUCGGCAGGGGAGACUGGAAUUCCUGGUGUAGCGGUGAAAUGCGCAGAUAUCAGGAGGAACACCGGUGGCGAAGGCGGCUUUCUGGGUCUUACCUGACGCUGAGGAGCGAAAGCGUGGGGAGCGAACAGG